rnacentral:rRNA from 1 species
GACGAACGCUGGCGGCGUGCUUAACACAUGCAAGUCGAACGGGUCUGCCCUGUUUUUUGCGGGGUGGGUCAGUGGCGAACGGGUGAGUAACACGUGAGUAACCUGCCCCUCACUUCUGGAUAACCGCUUGAAAGGGUGGCUAAUACGGGGUGUUCUGGCUGUGCCGCAUGGUGUGGCUGGGAAAGAUUCACUUUUGUGGUGUUUUGGUGGGGGAUGGGCUCGCGGCCUAUCAGCUUGUUGGUGGGGUGAUGGCCUGCCAAGGCUUUGACGGGUAGCCGGCGGGGGGGGGUGGGGGGUCACACGGGGAUGGGGAACCGGCCCGGCCCCCGGGGGGGGGGAGGGGGGGGGGGUUUUGCACAAGGGGGGGGAGCCUGAUGGAGCGACGGCGGGGGGGGGAGGGGGGCCUUGGGGUGGGGAACCUUUUUCGCCGGUGAAGAAGGUCCUGCUUUUUGGGGGGGGGUUGAGGGUAGCCGGGUUAUGAAGCCCCGGCUAACUACGU